rnacentral:rRNA from 1 species
CCCUUAGAUGUUCUGGGCCGCACGCGUGCUACACUGAGUAAUUCAAUGGGUAAGGGAACGCUAGAGCAUUACCUAAUCUUGAAUUUUGCUCGUGAUGGGGAUCGACGGUUGCAAUUUUCCGUCGUGAACGAGGAAUACCUUGUAGGCGCAUGUCAUCAUCAUGCGCCGAAUACGUCCCUGCCCUUUGUACACACCGCCCGUCGCUCCUACCGAUUGAGUGAUCCGGUGAGGCUCUGGGACCUGGACGGAAAGAGCGUUUCGCUUGUUCUGUUUGGGAAACUUGGUCGAACCUUAUCAUUUAGAGGAAGGAGAAGUCGUAACA